GUCACAAUUGAUUUUAAUUUAUGUUAAAGCAUAAUUUACAAAUCCUCAUGAUUAGAUUCACACGCGCGCGCGCUGUAAACAGUUGGGCUGGAAGUUUCUUCGCUCCUGGCAGUUGUCCCGAUUCGUGUGACUGCAUUGCUUGAAAGCAAAGUUCCGUGAAGGUUUGUCUCAGAGAAUGGGCUGAAAAUUAAAUCCAGUGAGAUGGACACUUGGAAUUAAUCUUUGAAGAUCUAGAAAUGAAGAAGUAAUCUGAAAAACAGCGGAUUGUUCAGUUUCAGACCUGCAUAGCACAGGAAAAUCAAGUUACUACUAUAUUUGCAGGGUCUGACAAACCUUCUGCAGAAAAUAAACUACAAGCAUCUGACACAUGGAGGAAAUUAUCCCCAUUCCAUGCCAACUGUUUAAUAAAACACAACAAGGGACAGUUGCUUUUUUGGCGAUGUGAACAAUUCUAUUAAUAUAUGUAUGGUAUAAAUAUUAUACUGGGAGCAGAUCACAAGCUACAAAGUAACCUCUACAGACAAUUUUGCAGUGAGAUGUUAACAAAUCUCAACAUUUAACAGAAAACGAAUCCAAACGGAGAAAAUGCUUCUAAUAAAUCGAAGCAAAGAGGAGGAGGAAAGAUGCAGCCUGACUCAAAAGUACAGAACAGUUUUUUUUCCUGCUAACUUGGAUCCUAAGGAAGUAGCAAAGGAGAGCCAAAAGCUGAAAGAACUGCAUAGACUUGGACCUGGUCACCUAACCAGUUCUUAAGGACUUUUUGGAAAAUCAAAAGGAAUGGAGCCAACUUAAUUUUGGAAAGAUUACUCCAUAAGGCAGUUGCCACAACAGAGAAAGCAUGUGUCCUGGGAUCCAUCAAUUGUAGAUCCGUAGCUGAAGUUAUCCACAGCACACCUUCUCUGUGAGAUUGAUGCGGCUGGGCUAGUAUAAACGGGAAAAGGCGGUCCCUCAAGUAGCCCAGUUCCAUGCCAUGAAUUUGUGCUUUCUGUUUAAAUGCUCAAUAAACACUAAAUGUAAUAGAUUUUCUGCUGUGGACAGAAAAAAGGCAAGGAAAUGUACACUAUGUCCAAACAAUAAUGGUCAUGCAACAUAUUGUAAUAGUGUAUGUAUACCAACAGCUCCAAAGAGAAAUUAAAGGGCUAUUGCUGAAUAGUUAAGUUUAAAUACUGGGGGCUGUUGCUGAAUAGUUAAGUUUAAAUACUGGGUUUAUCUUGAAGUUUGGUGGAGCAAGAGCCAUAUUGAAAUUUACUCUGCCAAGCACAGAAAACUCUCCAGUUCUGCUCAUUCACCACUGCAGCUUUUUUUCACUCUCACUUGUGCAUAUUUCUCCAGAUGUCUCCCUGCUUUCUUCAGUGGCACUAAUAUUUCUGUGGCAUUUUUCUUGUUAGCUCAUCCCGAUUGCACCAAACGCAUAAGCAGGAUUUUGUACUUACAUUUCUACCAAUAUUGAAAAACAGAUAAAACUCUGAGCAGCAUUCAUUCAGCCAUUCAGUUUGCUUUGCUUCUCCUUUGUGAGGCCCUGCCUCAUAAUGGUGCUGACAGGGGCAUGAGCUCACAAAGGAGAAGUAAAUAAAACUUUUUGGUGGGCUGAGUGAAAACUAUUCAUUCAAGAGUUUUAUCUUGUGUGGGUGCUUACUUAGUUAGCUUCAUUUGAUUUUAUUUGGUUGUUUAUAUUUUCUUGUGUUUUUAUCUGUAUUUAUGUAGCUUAGGUUUAGUUUAUUUUACAGUAUUUAUUUAUUCAUUUAUUUACUCAAUAUAUCUAUUUACACAUACUAUUUAUUUGUUUAUUUCUUUAUCAUGUUUCAUAUAUUUGUUGAAUUAGUUUAGUUAGGAUUAGUUUAAUUUAGCUUAGUUUCGCACAUUUCAUUCAUAAUGGAGACAUUCCUAUAAUACGCAGAGAAACUCCUGUUUGAGGUAAGACAUCUUUAUUUAUUCAUUUAUUUACUCAAUAUAUCUAUUUACACAUACUAUUUAUUUGUUUAUUUCCUUAUCAUAUUUCAUAUAUUUGUUGAAUUAGUUUAGUUAGGAUUAGUUUAGCUUAGCUUAGUUUCGCACAUUCCAUUCAUAAUGGAGACAUUCCUGUACUAUGCAGGGAAACUCCUGUUUGAGAUAAGACAUCUUUGGUUUUAUUUAUUUGCUUGUCAAUUUGCAUGUCUGACUAGGAUUUAGGAUUCAAAGAGGUAAUAUGACAGAUAACAUGAUAUAAGUAAUGAUAAUGAUGAAAUAAAACAGGAAUAUUUUGGUUCAAAAGUUAUUCUAAUCUAAAAAUUAUUUUAAAAUGUUUUUUGCUUGUUCCUAGAUUCUUUUAUCUAGGAACAAGCAAAAACAUUUUAGAAUAAUUUUUAGAAUAACUUUUGAACCAAAAUAUUUUAAAAAUAUUGCACAUCUUCUUUCAGGCACUUUCUUCGUGAACUGUGUUAAUAUCUUCAGUUUAAACGCAUUCUCAGGAUAGCCUUCCAAAAAGGCAGGGAAACGUGGUUCUGUGGCUUUGCUUGGGGUGCAGAGAAAAGCACAGUCGUGGGGCUGGCUAGAACCCUCAAAUCCCUAAUUCCUAAUUAAGUCAGGAGAAUCAGAGUCACCUUCCUCUAAACUAGAGAUAAGAACAUCCUAGCCUCUGACCAUGUUGUCAUCAACACUAUCUUGGAGGCAGUGUCAAUUGUUCCUACAGCAAGGUUUAACAUGGAAGAAGAGGGCCAUUAUAGCAUCACUUUAACAGCAGAGCAGCUAAAGGGCAACUUCAGCUGUCCCUGCAGCUGGCUAGAGGCAAAAUUCAGAUGAUGUCAUGAGGUUUGUUGCUUAACAAUGGUUAACAGUGGUCAGUGAGAGUCUUCAUGCUAUUUUUAAUAAAUAUGGAUACAAUUUG